rnacentral:rRNA from 1 species
GACGAACGCUGGCGGCGUGCUUAACACAUGCAAGUCGAACGAAACGUCCCUGCUUGGUGGCGCACCGGGGCGUAACGCGUGGGGACCUGCCCGGAGGUUCUGAACAACUCCCCGGAAGGGGUGCUGAUACCGGAUAAUAUCAUCGGACCAGAGAUUUAUCGCGUGUGGAUGGGGCCGCGUUGGAUUAGUUAGUUGGGAGGGUAAAAGCCUACCAAGGCGGGGAUCCAUAGCUGGUCUGAGAGGAUGCUCAGGGAGACUGGGACUGAGACACGGCCCAGACUCGUAGGGGAGGCAGGAGUUGGUAAUAUUGGGGAAUGAGCGAAAGGCUGCGCCAGCAAUGCCGGGUGAGUGAUCAAGGCGUUAGGGUUGUCAAGCUCUUUUAACCGAGAUGAUAAUGACAGUACCGGGAGAAUAAGCACCGGCUAACUACGUG